GUUCCUGUAGUUGAGGUUUACAACGGUGGUUUUUCAGGCCACAGGGCUUGGAGGGAGGCCAAGCAGGAACA
rnacentral:tRNA from 1 species